GACGACGUCUCGCCAUGCUGCUCCUGGGCCUGCUGCUGCUGCUGCCCCUGCUGGCUGGCGCCCGCCUGCUGUGGAACUGGUGGAAGCUCCGGAGCCUCCACCUCCCGCCUCUUGCCCCGGGCUUCUUGCACUUGCUGCAGCCCGACCUCCCAAUCUAUCUGCUUGGCCUGACUCAGAAAUUCGGGCCCAUCUACAGGCUCCACCUUGGGCUGCAAGAUGUGGUGGUGCUGAACUCCAAGAGGACCAUUGAGGAAGCCAUGGUCAAAAAGUGGGCAGACUUUGCUGGCAGACCUGAGCCACUUACCUCCCCCACCUCCUCCUGCAGACAAGCUGGUGUCUAGGAACUACCCGGACCUGUCCUUGGGAGACUACUCCCUGCUCUGGAAAGCCCACAAGAAGCUCACCCGCUCAGCCCUGCUGCUGGGCAUCCGUGACUCCAUGGAGCCAGUGGUGGAGCAGCUGACCCAGGAGUUCUGUGAGCGCAUGAGAGCCCAGCCCGGCACCCCUGUGGCCAUUGAGGAGGAAUUCUCUCUCCUCACCUGCAGCAUCAUCUGUUACCUCACCUUCGGAGACAAGAUCAAG
rnacentral:misc_RNA from 1 species